CCUUGAGGGUUCUGAGAAAGAAGGGAGACAGUUGUAAUCUUUUUUCUGGUUUUGCCCAGCUGAACUUGUCUCCCAGAGGAACAGCUGUAUUGCAGAGAAGAGAAGCUGUCCCAUUGAAGUAGCUGCAGAUGCAGCGUACGUAGCUGGAAAUCCCAUUGCACCUACACCCUUUCGUAAGUGAUCCCUCCAAAACUGAGGCUUCUCCUGGACGUUCCUGGUGAGGCCCAUCGUGUGACGGAGAUAGAGAUUAUAUUGCUCUAAAGAAGAAAAGGAUACCCUUGUCUCUUUACUUAUAAACAUUUUAUUUUACAAAAUGAUUCAAGGAUUGUUGCAUUCUACCUGUAAGAAAAACCUUCUGAACUACCCAUUGGUCAAGAAGAUAAAAGGUGCACUAAAAGCUAUGAGUGAAAACUUGGGAGCAACUCUGAUUUUAAGACAUUGAAAUUAUUGUAUGGUUGAAGAUACUGAAAGCACAGUUGUUCCUCUAGAAAAUGAAGAGAUAAAUGAGUUGCGAUAUAUUAGCUGUUGCACAUUUAGCUGAUGCUUCCAAGAUGUUGGCAUACUUAUUAAGUUUAUGGCCACGGCAAGUAGACUGCAGAUAAACUUUAGCAGCUUCAGCAUCUCCCCAAGUCAUGAAUUUACAGAAUUCCUGAUGUAUUCCCAGGGCAAAGAUGAAGGAAUUGUUUGAAGCAUGGUGAAAACUGUCUGAUUCUCAACAGCAGCCAUACGUGCAGCUUGCUGAAGAUGAUAAGGUUCGGUACGAGAAUGAAAUGCAGUUGUGGGAAGCAAAAAUAGUCAAGCUUGGAUGCGAAGACCUGAUACGUUCCAGAAAGCAAAAUCCAGAAAAGAAAACUGCUGAAACCUGUAAACAAAGCUGAAAGAGCCAAAGCUUCUUCAUAUGAAAACGAGGCGAAGUUAAAGUUGAAAAAAUCGGAAGAAUGAAAUGGUUAAGUAUUUUAUAUUUGAUGCCCUUUGGUUGUCAUGUCUUUGUCCUGCUGUGUUAAUGCUGCAGUCUGCAUUAGCACCAAAAUUUGGAGAACCCAUAAAGGGCCCACUGGAGAAGCAGAAAAGAUGAUCAUGUAAGAGAGUGUUAUAAAUUGAGACUACAAUGGGUUGUAAUCCAAUUAAAAUUUUAUUAAUUAUAGCAAGUAGAAUAUGAGCAAAACCAGCGCUGGACGACAGGGGAGUCUGUGCUCCACCAACUGCCGUACUGAGUAGAACAGACUGUCCCUUUUUAUGCAUCCUGACUCCCGCGUUCAUAGAGUGGUGGAGAUACUAUAUUUCAACUGUUGCUAGGGGUCUAGAGUGGUGGAGAUACUCUGCGCAUGUUCCAACUGUUGCUAGGGGGUCGUUUUCUGCCUCCUGGUGGUCGAUGAUAUCCUUAUAUGGAGUUGUUUUUCUUCUGUUUGUUUUCUUGGAAUAUCUUGUGAUUUGCAGCGUCAGCCAUGUGUGCACAAGCAACACAUGAUUCCAUGAGCGAUCUCCCCUUC